GACAGAGGAUGCAAGCGUUAUCCGGAAUGAUUGGGCGUAAAGCGUCUGUAGGUGGCUUUUUAAGUCCGCCGUCAAAUCCCAGGGCUCAACCCCUGGACAGGCGGUGGAAACUACCAAGCUGGAGUACGGUAGGGGCAGAGGGAAUUUCCGGUGGAGCGGUGAAAUGCGUAGAGAUCGGAAAGAACACCAACGGCGAAGGCACUCUACUGGGCCAUGACUGACACUGAGAGACGAAAGCUAGGGGAGCAAAUGGG
rnacentral:rRNA from 1 species